ACAAACGCUGGCGGCGUGCCGUAACACAUGCAAGUCGAACGAGAUACGUUUUCGGACGUAUCGAGUGGCGGACGGGGUGAGUAACACGUGAGUGACCAACUCUCCAGUGGGGGGAUACCCGGCGGAAAACGCUGGUUAAUCCCGCAUACGGUCAGUUUACUGAAGAAAGCGGUAACGCGCUGGAGAAACGGGCUCGCGGCUGAUUAGCUAGUUGGUAGGGUAUGAAGCCUACCAAGGCGACGAUCAGUAGCUGGUCUGAGAGGAUGAUCAGCCACACUGGGAUUGAGAACGGCCCAGACUCCUACGGGGGGCAGCAGUGAGGAAUCUUCGUCAAUGGGGGGCAACCCUGAACGAGCAACGCCGCGUGGAGGACGACGGUCUUCGGAUUGUAAACUCCUUUUUCGCUGGGACGAGACAGGACGGUACCAGCGGAAGAAGCCUCGGCUAACUACGUGCCAGCAGCCGCGGUAAUACGUAGGAGGCAAGCGUUGUCCGGAGUUACUGGGCGUAAAGGGCGCGCAGGGCGGCCAGUUCGCGUUCCGGGUGAAAGCUCCGAGCUAAACUCGGAGAGGUUUCCGGAAAACGGGCUGGCUUGAGCGUCGGAGAGGGGCAUGGAACUCCGGGUGGAGCGGUGGAAAAUGCGUAGAGAUCCGGAAGAACACCAAUUGGCGAAGGCCAGUGCCCUGGCCGACUGCUGACGGCUCAGGCGCGAAAAGCGUGGGGAGCAAACAGGAUUAGAUACCCCUGGUAGUCCACGCUGUAAACGAUGUCUACUAGAUAGAGGGCAGUUUCGACCCUGUCUCUGUCCGCAGCUAACGCAUAAAGUAGACCGCCUGGGGAGUACGGUCGCAAGAUUAAAACUCAAAGGAAUUGACGGGGGACCCGCACAAGCAGCGGAGUGUGUGGUUUAAUUCGAUGCAACGCGAAGAAAACCUUACCAGGGUUUGAACAUGCUCUCGCACCGUCUGGAGACAGGCGUGCCCGCAAAGGGACGGGAGCACAGGUGCUGCAUGGCUGUCGUCAGCUCGUGCCGUGAGGUGUUGGGGUUAAGUCCCCUAACGAGCGCAACCCCCCUGUCGUUGGUUGUAUUUUUCCAACGAGACUGCCGCGCGCAACGCGGAGGAAGGUGGGGAAUGACGUCAAGUCAGCACGGCCCUUACGUCCUGGGCGACAACACACACUACAAUGGCUGGUACAAACGGGCCAGCGAAGCGGCAACGCGGAGCCAAUCCCAGCAAAGCCAGCCCCAGUUUCAGAUUGCCGGCUGCAACCCGCCGGCAUGAAGGUGGAGUUGCUAGUAAUCGCAGGUCAGCAUACUGCGGUGAAUACGUUCCCGGGUCUUGUACACCACCAGCCGCCCGUCACCACCAUGGAAGGCCGGUGACACCUGAAGCCGCUGGGCUAACUCGCAAGAGGGGCAGGCGUCGAGGGGUGGGAUCGGUGACUGGGGGU
rnacentral:rRNA from 1 species